AAGGCUUCAGUACGACCCAGUCAGAACUAUAAGUCUCAAAGCCCCGACGAGUAGGGUGGCGUGCCGGUGAGCGUUGAAGGCCAAGACGUGAGUCAGGCUGGAGCCGCCGGUAGUGCAGAUCUUGGUGGUAGUAGCAAGUACUCUGGUGAACCAACCUGGAGCUGUGAGGUCUGGAUCAGGGUUCCAUGUCAACAGUGAUUGAACAUGGGUGAGUCGAUCCUAAGCCAACUGUGAAAGCAGUGACAUCCCGACAAAGGGGCAAUUCGUUUGGCGGUCAUACGCGUUAGUGUGUGUGUGUGCACAUACGCAAGUCUCCUCUCUCGACGCACGCGCAUGCAAACAAAAACUUGUGUUGGUGGUGCGCGUGUGGGUCGUCUCUCUGAUUACGCUCGAAAAGCAUUAUAUGGUUUGUGAGAGAGAAAAAGAGACAGUGCCACGCGCGCGCGCGCGUGUGUGUGUCCGUUGUCAANGCUCCCUGCGUCUGGUUCUAUGUCUGGCGAAAGGGAAUGGGGACUUUGUUCCUUGACCGGUCCCGGCACCCUCGAUAGGCUUUGCCAAUCAAUGGUCCAUGCAAAUGGAACCAGGCCACAGCCGCCGGCAGUCGCCCGAGGAAGAGUUUUCUUUUCUGCUUAACGCACGAGAUCAUCCCUGGAAACAGUUCGGCUGGCGAAAGGGUGCCCCGUUGCGGCAGAGCGCCACGACUGUCGUGCGCGUCUCGGUGUUCCUGCCGGUCCGUGAAGACGUGGUCGAGGGGAUUGCUAUGUUGUAUAAAAACGCCCGACAAGUUCGGGACGGACCGUACCCUAUAUCCGCAUCUGGUCUCCAAGGUUCGUAGCCUCUGCAGAGUCAGACACAUGUAGGUAAGGGAAGUCGGCAAACUCGAUCCGUAACUUCGGGAAAAGGAUUGGCUCUGAGGGCCGAGCUGGGCCGGGCCUUGCCUGCAAAGCAGUACCUAUAGUGACCGGAGUUUGAGGAGUGCGAGGGGCUCUAGUAGCUGGCUGCGCGCGUUCACGCGUGUGUGGUCACGAACGAGUCUACCGCUCCGCUCCAACCACGAACGGCUGUGACGGCAAGGGCUCUGGGCGGGAGCGAUCAAACCGUUUGACCCCAGCUCGUCUGGGUGUCGGCGGUGCUCCGUCUGACCCAUACGGCUCCAGCGGCUAGCGGCUAACUCAGAACUGUCAUGGACCAAGGGAAUCCGACUGUCUAAUUAAAACAAAGCGUCGUGACGGCCCCUGUUGGGUGUUGACGCGACGUGAUUUC
rnacentral:rRNA from 1 species